rnacentral:hammerhead_ribozyme from 1 species
GCACUGCUGAGGAGUCCCACAAUAGAAGGAAACGGCCGUUCAGUAC